GUUCGUCCGCCCUGGGUUAGUCGGGACCUAAGCUGAGGCCGAAAGGCGUAGGUGAUGGACAACAGGUUGAUAUUCCUGUACUACCGAUAACCGUUUGAGAGAAGGGAUGACACAGUAGGAUAAGCUAAGCACACUGUUGGUUAUGUGUGCCCAAGCAUUGAGGCAGUCAAAGUAGGCAAAUCCGCUUUGAUAAUGCUGGGAUGUG
rnacentral:rRNA from 1 species